UACGUAGGGGGCUAGCGUUGUCCGGAUUUAUUGGGCGUAAAGAGCGUGUAGGCGGCCAGGUAGGUCUGCUGUGAAAACUCGAGGCUCAACCUCGAGACGUCGGCGGAAACCAUCUGGCUAGAGUCCGGAAGAGGAGAGUGGAAUUCCAGGUGUAGCGGUGAAAUGCGUAGAUAUCUGGAGGAACACCGGUGGCGAAGGCGGCAUCCUGGACCGAGAUUGACGCUGAGGCGCGAAAGCCAGGGGAGCAAACGGG
rnacentral:rRNA from 1 species